rnacentral:tRNA from 1 species
AAGCCCCGGCGGGAGUUAUUCCGCUCUUUAAGAUUUGCAAUUUUAUGUGCUCUACACCACGAAGCU